GACCAGACUUGUGCCCGUCGAAUCAGCCGCCGCUCGUCGGCGGCGCACUUCGGCGGGCUCAGGCCAGCAUCAGUUCGCUGCAGGGGGAGAAAGGCGAUGGGAAUGUGGCUCUUCGGAGUGUUAUAGCCCGCCGCGCAAUACCCCUCGGCGGACUGAGGACCGCGCAUCUGCAAGGAUGCUGGCGUAAUGGUCGUCAGCGACCCGUCUUGA
rnacentral:rRNA from 1 species